rnacentral:rRNA from 1 species
AUUGAACGCUGGCGGCAGGCCUAACACAUGCAAGUCGAGCGGAGCGGCGGACGGGUGAGUAAUGCCUAGGAAUCUGCCUGGUAGUGGGGUAUAACGUCCGGAAACGGGCGCUAAUACCGCAUACUAUCAGAUGAGCCUAGGUCGGAUUAGCUAGUUGGUGGGGUAAAGCCCUACCAAGGCGACGAUCCGUAACUGGUCUGAGAGGAUGAUCAGUCAAACUGGAACUGGAAAACGGUCCAGAUUCCUACAGGAGGCAGCAGUGGGGAAUCUUGGACAAAGGGCGAAAGUCUGAUCCAGCCAUGCCGAGUGUGUUACGAAGGUCUUCGGAUUGUAAAGCACUUUAGGUUGGGAGGCGUUAUCAACAGAAUAAGCACCGGAUAACUUCGUGCCAGACGCCGCGGUAAUUC